CCGCUAAUGUUUUGGCCGAUUCAAGAUGGCGGUGCAGGAGUCAGCUGCUCAGCUCUCCAUGACCCUGAAGGUGCAGGAGUACCCGACCCUCAAGGCUCCAACCUUGUCAGACCUCCAGAGCACCGUCUGCUCGUACCCGAGAGAGCCCCAGGCUGCCUCUGCCUUCCGGAGUCCCGCCAAAGCCAGAGCACGGCUGCAGUGCUGUCUUCUUACCCUAUGCAUACUCCUGAGCUCCUCCCGUCUCUCGCGCCUCUGCUCGGACACUUGGCCACAGACGAGACACUGGGGUGGUGUGGGCCUUCGGGGACAGGUGCAGGUCCACGUCGGGGUGCCCUACGAAACACUGAAUAAACGCUUUCGGGCUGCUCAGAAAAACAUUGACCGAGAGACGAGCCACGUCACCAUGGUGGUGGCUGAGCUGGAGAAGACCUUGAGCAGCUGCCCCGCUGUGGACUCUGUGGUCAGCCUUCUGGAUGGUGUGGUGGAGAAGCUCAGCGUCCUCAAGAGGAAGGCGGUGGAGUCCAUCCAGGCUGAGGACGAGAGUGCCAAGCUGUGCAAGCGCAGGAUCGAGCACCUCAAGGAGCACAGCAGCGACCAGCCGGCGGCGGCCAGCCUGUGGAAGAAGAAGCGCAUGGACCGCAUGAUGGUGGAGCACCUGCUGCGCUGCGGCUACUACAACACGGCGGUGAAGCUGGCCCGUCAGAGCGGCAUCGAGGACUUAGUGAACAUUGAGAUGUUCCUGACGGCCAAAGAAGUGGAGGAGUCCCUGGAGAGGCGGGAGACGGCCACCUGCCUGGCCUGGUGUCACGACAACAAGUCCCGGCUGCGCAAGAUGAAGGGCCGCCAAAGCGAGCACGACGCGAAGACGGGACGGAAAAGUAGAGUGGCCAGUGGCUCCCCUAAAGAGAGUGAGGAUCUUGGUAUGGAAACCAUAAAAGGAAAGCCAGAAUUGGUAUGUAACACUCACCCUGCUCUCCUGCUCCAGCCCCCACAGCUGUGCCGCACGGUGGGAACCAGGUCAGAAGGAAAGCAGGCCCCCAUCCUGACAGGUGGUUUCUGCAAGCCCUGCUACCUCCAGUCAACACUGCUGCUUGGCGAGGGCACAGCCGCACAGCCGGGUCCAGGCGGGGCCGCGCAGCCGCUGUGGGAGCGGGAGGGCGGGCGGCCGGAUCCACGUCACCUGGCCGUUUAACUGGAGAGAGCGUAACUAGCCAUCCCAAAAUGCGUUGGGAAGACCAGCUAAUGACCUGAGAACGUGCUUGUUAUAAAAUGUCAGCUGAACAGAGUGGGGCCCUAGAGUGCCCAGACAGCGUGCUUCAUGUGUGCAUACACGCAUGAGCUCACACACGCAGGCCAGGGAGGGGACAGACGCCGGGGCGGGGGGGGGCCAUGCCCGACGACCAUGGAUCCCUCGCAUCUGUCGUGAGACUCUAGGCAAGAAAAGAAACUUUCAGACCAAGUCUCCCGUAGCUGGAAAAAACUUGUAAGGUGAUGGGUGAAUAUCUGUUGAGUUGAUUCCUGUCUCCAGAUGCUUAAGGACAGCCGAAGCAAGAACACGCGUGUGCUGCGUGUCGGGACAGCCGAAUGAAGUCACAAACGUGACUGCUCCAGGCCCUCCCAGCUAGCACGGGAAGGGUGUGUUCAGCCCUCUGUGCUUGGCGUGAUCACCUGGAAUCGUGGUAUUUUACGUUUGAGUCUGAGUACCUAGGUUUUGGUACACAUGUAUUUGUCUGGAAGGUAACCUGCUAGAGCAGAGCUGUUACAAUAGUGGAACGUGUUUAAACAUGUCAGUCGUGGGGAGUUUACCAUGACGUCCGUCUGGAAUGCCCACCUGGUGGCUUCCUGUUGCCGGUAGAGCCCCUGGCGUCCCCUGAAUACAGAAGCGGCGAUCAUCUGGUGCCCUGGGGAGGCAGGCAGGGCAUCUCCUCACUGCUCUCUGCCCCUUGCCUCCUGCUGGUCUGGCCUUGGAAGGAAACUCAUCACUGGGGCUGGUUUGUGCUGCCGCUCAGCACAUGGCACCGGCUCCAUCCAGUUGGGGGUCAGGACAGACUGCCGCCUUGGUACAGAGGGCAGGGGAGGAGGGCCUGGGGCAGGGAAACACGCUUUGCUCUGAGCACCUAUGGUGUGGACGUGUUGGGCACCAGGUAGGUGGCUCCCUGCAGCUUUGCCUCUGACAGCCGGGUGGGCCCCAAGGUAGGUCCCAUCGGCCAGUGCUGCACCCUCGUGUCCGUGGAACAGGGCUGGGGCUUGGUGGAGGGCGCCCUCCCAGGGGCCUGGCUGAGCUGCUUCAUCAGAAUGCCCGUGCACACGCUUGGAGGCUCGGGUGGGAACAGUCCACAUGACUGGUAAACGUGAGCGUAAGGGUUAGACGUUUGGGGUUGACUGACGGACUUGCCUUGUAGACUAUGUGUCCACGUCAUCUUGUGAUCCAGGUACUGUGGAAAGCAAAAUGGCAAAUGAGGUGGAAAACGCAGAGAUUUUUCUCUUGUUCUCUUAAUUCUACAUAUCCGUUUCUGGUUGGAAAUACCUAGUGUUUUCUAAAUUAUCAUCUUUGUAAAAUAAUCCAGUUUUUCAUCUUAGGCUACAAAGGUUAACUUUGCCUGCCUUCCCCCAUCCCCAGCCACAAGAGUUUGAACCCAAGUUGGACUGACAUUGCUGCGGUUGCAGAGUUAGCAUUUGGCCUGCCGUACAAAUGACCCUGCGGGUGGCACACCCUGCUGGCGCCCCCUCAGAACCGCACGUGCCGUGUUUGCACAGGUGCCUGUCAGACACGCAGCUGACUGCACAGCAGUGCGUCCUCCAGCAGCCGCUGCCCCAGACUCGCGACCUCUGCAAAUCCUGGGGCUUCCGCCGCGUGCUCGGACGGCUCAGCAGCGCUGCGCUCCUCCUGGUCCCGCCCACCCCCCCAAGGCCUUUGACCUGGCUCUUCCUCUGCCUGGAACAUUCUCCCCAGGCGUCUCUGCAGACUGUCCCCUCCUCAUCCCCACCCCGCGUCCCUGCUCAGGGACCUGGUUUCUCUCUCCGGCUCCGCGUGCGUUGCUCCCGCUCACGCUCCUCUGUGAGGCGCCACCUCCCAGCAGCCUCUCCUCCCACCAGCGUUGGCCUCCCACCGGGGCUGGCCUCCCUCUCCCAGAGCAGGUCGGGGUGGAAUGUGCCACACGGGGUUCUCAGGCCAUCUGAGGCUCUGAGGGCACAUCCCCAUGUUUUUAUGCCUUUACAACCCUGAGACAGAAUCCAGAGAGCUGCUUGGUCCUCGUAAAGGGGGUGGAAACUUGUCUUCUUGGGCUCCCUUGCUUCACAUGGGAAGUCAUGUCUCACGCCCUCCAAACUGCUGACGGCCUGCAGCCUCCUCCCGGUGACUCGUUCCCAAGCCUGGCUGGUGGAGUUGCCUGGAGUUCAGCCUGAGGAUUCAGGAGUUCAUUGAGCUCAUCCGGCAGAACAAGAGACUAGACGCCGUGAG